AUUCCAGCUCCAAUAGCGUAUACUAAAGUUGUUACAGUUAAAAAGCUCGUAGUUGAAUUUCUGGUCGUGGCGACCGGUCCGCCCCUCACGGGGUGUGCAUCUGGUCUCUGCGUCCAUCCUCGGGGAGAGCGCGUCUAGCAUUCAGUUGUCGGGCGCGGGAUCCUCGUCAUUUACUGUGAGCAAAAUAGAGUGUUCAAAGCAGGCUUAGGCCGUUGAAUACAUUAGCAUGGAAUAAUAAGAUAGGACCUUGGUCUAUUUUGUUGGUUUGCGUUCCAAGGUAAUGAUUAAUAGGGAUAGUUGGGGGUAUUCGUAUUCAAUUGUCAGAGGUGAAAUUCUUGGAUUUAUGGAAGACGAACUACUGCGAAAGCAUUUACCAAGGAUGUUUUCAUCA
rnacentral:rRNA from 1 species